CGACUACACGACGUGUUCCAAGAACGUUGAGCUGAACGGCACGUCUGGAAAGAAACGGCAACCACUUUGGAGGUGCAACGUGCAGGAGGCAUUCAGUUGGAACCCCGCUUCUCCCUUAUGAUGACGAAUACGGUGCCGAUGUCCGGACACGACCUCAGCAUCUUCUCCAAGAGGACCUACAGAACGAACACAUGACGAUCCGGACCGUUCUGAACGAGGGUGCUCAUGGACGUGUUCGAACACCACGAUUCUACUUCGGCUACACAAUGAAAGGACGAAGUUAUGUAAAGUCACUUCCUGUGGGUACAGCAAGGAGAACGUUACUGGUCGAGCAUCUGACUAGUGCAAUUUCG